AGUCAAGAAUUGGAUGCUUAACCGACUGAGCCACCAAGGUGCCCAUGCAUGGAUCUUGUGUCUUUUAAGGAAUUUGUCCAUCUUACAUGGGUGGACAAAGGUGUUUAUAAUAAUCUCUUAUUCUUUAAUGCUCUAAAGGCACUAUAGUGAUGUCCCUUCUUUUAUUACUGAUAUCAGUACAAUGUAUGUUUUCCAUUUUUUUUGUAGCUAGAGGUUUAUAAAUUUUAUUAAUUUUUUUAAAAAAGCGUCAAUUUCUGCUUUCAUUAGUUUUUCUCUUCUGCUUUUCUCUCUCUUUUCAAAAGAGAGAGAAAUGUAUUUAUUUUGAGACUGAUUGCAUGUGCACUCAUGUACCCACACACAAGCAGGGUAGGGGCAGAGAGGGGGAGAGAGAGAAUGCCAAACAGGCUCCUCGCUGUCAAUGCAGGGUCCAAUGUGGGGCUCCAUCCCAUGAACUGUGAGAUCAUGACCUGAGCUGAAAUCAAGAGUUGGACACUCAACCAACUGAGCUACACAGGUAUUCUAAGGCUUUAAGUUUUCCUCUAAGUGUCCUGUGUUGGAUGUAUCCCCAUAAAUUCUGCCUCCAGAACCAUCCAUCCCCCACAAUGCAGCUCUAUUCCCAACCUCAUCAGUCAUCACACCCAUGACAGUUGCUCAGUUACAAUCAAGAUCACCUCUCUGAAAGUUCCACACACUUGAUCACUGCACUUACCGUUCCCUGGACCUACUUUAUGUCUGUUCAUCUAAGCUAUAGUUUCUUCAAAACCUACCUCAUCUGUGAAGAUUUCCUAGUGCCACUCCAAAGAGAGAUGAAUCCUGGGUGACACUAGAUGCCAUGUGUUGAAGAUAUCAAGGCUCCUGUCAACCUGGUGCCUGAAAAGGCUAUUGUGCCAACCCCUUCACUUCACUACUGUCAUGAACCCAGUGACCCACCAGAGGACUGGACAGUUUAAGGCCAGCUCCAGAAACAAAUGGAAGACAGUUCAAGUACUUAAUAUAAAAACCUUUUUAAAUUUCUUUUUCUUCCUUCCUCCCUCCCUCCCUUCCUUCCUUCCUUCCUUCCUUCCUUCCUUCCUUCCUUCCUUCCUUCCUUCCUUCCUUCCUUUCUUAUUGUUGGUCCCCUAGCAACAACUCAGUUCCAUUUGGUUCAGCCACCUGAGAACCAAGUGAACUAUGUGCCAGGUACUUUUCUAGGGCCUCUUCGUAUAGAGAUAACAUAUGAGGAGGAUCCUAUGACCAAUUUGGAUUUAAAAAGCUUUUUCUAAUAUCACUCUCAAUCCAUGUGUACUCACUAUGUGUUUUUCUAUAAUCCUCUUUCCAGAGCUUAUCUGUGUAUGUAUAAGGAUUGUGUUCUAUUGGAUUCAAAUAUUUCUUACGCAUUUUUUUUUGAAGAAUAAAAGAUUGAAGUCAAGACUGGGAAUAUUUCAAACCUAUGCUGGUUCCAUGCACACUAUUCAAGUUUCCUAAACUAGUCUCUUGGCAACCAUGACUCAGGCCAAAAAGCAAAAUGUUUUGUGGCUAGGAUAAUUGAGUCAUUUUCCUUCCUUCUUUUUCUCUUGUUAUCUUAACUGAAAUGAACAUUAUCCUAACUGGCCAUAUUUUCAAAUGAACACAAAUUUAUAGCACAUUAAUGGUUAGGUGAUUUGCUUUCAUUGCAUUUUAUGUUUCAUGGAGACACCUUGUCACUUUCCAAAUCUAAAAUAUGGAUUAAUGAUCCUUUAUGGAAAAAAAUGUUGGAAUUAUGAUAUUUUCAUAGGCUUCUCUAAAUACUUACAAUUUCUCAAUCCCUUAGUUUAUAAGUCUUUGCAACUUACAAACCCACAUAUGUUCCCCAAAUGGAGACAUACCUAAUCC